GUAGGUGAACCUGCGGAAGGAUCAUUACUGUGUAAUGGGUUGAGCUGGCCUUUGAAAAGGCAUGUGCUUGCCCUUAUCAUAAAUACACCUGUGCACCUUAUGGAUAAGUAGGAGACUGCUUAUUCUUUUACCUUAAAUGCCAGUAUAUGCGUGUCUUAUGUUAUUGUAAUGUAAUAACUUUCAACAACGGAUCUCUUGGCUUUU
rnacentral:misc_RNA from 1 species